GGUUAAAUCGGGAAAAUAUGACCAAAGAGAAGACUUUGCAGUGAUUCUUCAGCCCUUCCUGAAAGAUGUAGAACCUCCAUUAAAUGAGACUGGCGGGAUUGAUUUUUCAACAUUUAGCCCAGACUGUUUCCACCUUAGCAUCAAAGGGCACAAGGCAAUGGCAACGGCACUUUGGAAUAAUAUGUUCCAACCCGAGGGCCACAAAGUGGGAAUUAACUCAGUUUUCAAAUCAAUGCAGCUCAUUUGUCCAUCAAAGGUACAACAGAAGAAUACAAU